AUAAAUAUGGCAACCCCUCAAUGUGCCAAGAACACUGGCUGAGGAGCACCCUUUGAGGGCUGAGUCCUGAUCCCUGCCAGCCAGGAGCUUAGGCCUCCAGCUUCUGCCUGAGCUCUGUUGGGUAUCCAGUAAUGGCUCCCAAACUGGCCACUUGCCCUCUGUGCCAUCCACCUGGAAGCCUUUCCCACUCAUGCCCAUUGGUUUGUCCUAUGAGUCCUAGCACACAAAAUCCCUCUCCUGAAAGCCACUCUCAUGGCUCAUCCCCAUUUCCCAGCCCUCAUGUCCCUGGUUCCAAGUAUCUCCCACAGAAGUUGGCAUCUCAUCCAAUUGGACUGGGACCACAAGAAGCAAGGGCUCCAAUGGUGCCCAAGUAUGUCCUCUAGGCAGGAGGGCUCACAACACCACGUCAUGUGUGCUUGGAGGAGGGGCCUCCACACCAGGUAUCUACUCACUUAGACAGCCAUCUGGACCCUCUCCUCUGGCCCCAACAAGGGGUUUAGCUGCCUGUGGGACAGGAGGAGAGUGGAGUCCAUGAUGUUGAGUUCAGGAGCCAUUGUCGGCUCAUCAGUGAAAGCAGUGAAAAGUCCCGCUCCCUCAUAGUACCUCUGUUACCAUGGCAGAGCUACACAUUUACUCCCAGCACCAAUUCUUUGCUCAUCUUCACCCUUGUCCAAUCCCCACUACAGGGUUGAGGGGAGGAGGCAAAAGACCACAGAGCCACAGGUCCACAGAGGAGAAGGAAUAAAGGCACCUGGAGGGACACCCUCACAGGGACCAUGCAGCCACGCUUUCUGGUCUGUCUCCAAGGGGACAAGCCCAUGCUGGUUAUUAAGGAGCAAUGUUCUCAGAAAGGGCCUGAAGCCUUUUCUACCGAGAAGCAGGGUCCACGGCAAUAAUAUAUUGCAACAACGGGUAAUACCCCAAGCAACAGCUCAGCAGAAAUGCACAGAAGGAGCAUGCACUGACCAGGAUCCUGGGAGGAAGAGGAUGCUGGAUGCAACUCACUGCUGCUGCUAUGAGGCCCCAGGACAGUUAUCACCUCUCACUCCCACUGUCCAUUCCCAUCACCUCUCAUCAGCCUCCUGCACCAGCCCUGCUUCCUGCUACUUGUCUUUGCACCUGCUGGGAACAUCUUCUAUGGUAUGCAUGGCAGCUGGGAAGUCCCACUGGAUGUCUUCCCUUUUUAUCCCACUCUGAACACUCGACACAGUACUUGGCCACUACACACAGAGACCCUCUGUCCUUUGGGGACAGCAGGCCCUUAAUCACAGAUAUGUCCUUGGCCCCCAGCAUGGCUGGCUCAAGGAGAAGAGGCCUCAUUUGUGAUGAAGUGUGCAUAAACAUUUGCCAUUCGAUCAGGGAUUAUCUGGGAGACUUCCAGACUCAGCCUCAUUUGCACAUUAUGCUACCUAUAUAUGCCCUAUUCCUUAGUACAUCAGAUAAGAUGACCCCUAAACCUGGCCUUUGUUGGCUGCCCUCUAAUAAGCGAGGAGACACCUGCUGUCACCACAAGACAGUUCUCCCUCUCCUCAGCCACCACACCUGUGAUUCAGUCUCCAAUUCCCACUUUGUCACCCAAGAGCUGCCCUUACCUGCCCCAACCAUCCCCCCAUGUGCUCCCCUCUGGCCAUUUGGCUGUUCUACUAGGAGGGAUCAUGCAAAUUAUCCCCUCUGCCUUCCUGCCUGGACACCAGGGUGAACAUCCAGGGUGGAAUCUGGAGCUACAUCAACCUCAACUAGCUGCAGAGAGUGGUGUCUGCUGGGAGCAAGAAGGAAGACAUGGCUCUUGAGUUCCAAGCAUCAUUUCCUUAAUGGAGAAGAUCUGCCAGGGGCUAAGGGGCUAAAGACAGCACUGAUCACUCAUGACAUCCUAUCUCUCCACAAGUCAGCCCAUGCUCCUGGGUGAGGACUUACACUCUGCUGGGUGCUGUCCAGCUAGAGACAUGUUCAGGCAAGGAACAAAGAGGUUGUGACAUUCAGGGAGAACAAGGGUGGGGACAUCUGCAGGACCAGGCAGGGUGGGGCAUGAGUACUAUCACACCUCUGAGCCAGCGGUCUUCCUACUGAGACCUGAAGGGUGGCAGGAGCCUCUGUGCUAAGGCCCAGGCAGCUGCACCCCACAGGCCCCAACAGGCUGGGGUGCAGUUGGUUAUGGAGUGGAAGUUCUAGGCAAAUGAGGCCCAGAAAGGAAAGUGGAGGCCACCAGCUUGGACUGGGGUCUAAGCAGAGCCAUAGAAAUCAGGGCCCAAUCUUGAGUUGGUAGCACUGAGGCACAAUGGAUACCAUCACAGGUAUGUUGGAAGUCUUUACUCAAGGGAUGAGAAACCUGGCUUAGGGGUCUCCUAGACAGGCUGGCCCCUCAGACAGAGGGGAUGUCCUAGUCAUAGUGUGAUGCAAGAAGGGCACCCACCUUGGUAUUCUACAUCUUCAUGAGACAGCUGCAGGCUGAGGACAGUCAGCGUGGGGAGGGCAGUUGUGGCCUGUCAAAGGCCACAGUGGAGCCAGAGCCACUGGGUGUCUGGCCCCAUGUUCCUGAGAAGGGAAAAGGCAGGGCCAAGACAGGUGAUACACAGGGGAGACCGUGAUAACACUGAAGUCUGAAGGGCAGGAACAAGGGCAGAGCCAAGGGAUCCAGGUUGCAGGUAGGUAUUUGCGGCCAAGCAGCAAAGGCAGCAUUUGUUUUUCAUGUGUCAUUGCAGUUCCUUGUCAUUUCAGGGCCUUGUUCAGGAUAGGCAAGCACUAUGCCCAACCUACAUCUGCAAAGACAAUACUGGAAGCCACAGGAAGAGUGUGUGAGAAUAGAGAUUCUCUCAGAACAAGGAUAAGCCCCACUGUGGGGUCUGCAGGGACCUGAACACCCCUCCUGGAAGGAGCCACCUCUGUCUGGGCUUUGGACAGCCUUGCUUGCCCUCCUGAACUGUAAACACCUCCUCUGGGUAUGAUAGAACCAGUCACCACCCCAGAGGCCCCUACAGCAAUUGAGCUGUGCAAUUGCCAGCCCUUGCAAGCUCUUUAGCGACUGCAAUUGAUUCCCAGGCUGGGGUCUAAUUGCUGGCCUGUUGCUGUGAUCUCAGUAAAGGCUGCCACCAUAGGGGAGCCAGAGUGCACACUUGCCGCCUUCCCAGAUAAAAUGAAGGAGGUUUUCUCUUUCCUCCUUUGAAUGGUCGACUUGCAGGAAACCAGCAAUUAUGCAUCAAAGCACGGCGUUUAUGCCACAGGGACUGGUGGUAGAGGACUUACUCAUGAGCCCAGUCUCUAAGAAUUUUGUUGCAAGAGCCUGGGGUCGUUUGCCCACCCCUUUCCAGUGCUGGAGAACAAGAGCACUUGCUUGGAAGCAAAGCACCUGAGGAGCUGGCCCUGGCCAACAGCCUAGGAAUCUGAUGAAAAGACCUGCAGGUAUUUCCCACCAGCCUCCCAUGCCACUCUCCCAGAUAAGGCUUUGCCUUGGAACUCUCAAGGGACAGCCCAACCCCAGGGAGAUGAGGAGCCCUGAGAGAGGCUCACUAGCUGGGAACCAUGGCAGACAACAAGAGGAUAAAGAGGACAAGAUUCAGACCUGUGGGCAUUGUGCAGCCCCUUCCCCUGGCCAUAGUGGACUAGGUCAUAAACCAACCUCUCCUUCUGGCACAAAUGUCACCUCUUAGUACCAUCAGAGAAAGCAGCACCUUGCCAGAAUCUCCCCAAUUAAUGACUAUUUAAGUUUGGAUUUAAAAAUCUCCCAAAGUCUCACAUUUGGAGGUAGGGCAUGGUUGGAGAGGAUGGGUCCUCAGGGACUCUGGAAGGGUUUAUUCCUCUCCCUGACCCCUCCCUUCCUUCCCUCUCUGCUUCUUGGCUGCAGUGAUUUGAGUAGCUUCUCUCUGCCACACCCCUCUGCCAUGCUGUUUCUCCCUUGGAGUGGGCUGACCACGGACUGAAUCCUCUGAAAACCAUGAUCCAAAU
ensembl:lincRNA